rnacentral:rRNA from 1 species
GACGAACGCUGGCGGCGUGCUUAACACAUGCAAGUCGAACGAAGCUUGAUUACGGAUUCUUCGGAUGAAGUAUGAUAUGACUGAGUGGCGGACGGGUGAGUAACGCGUGAGUAACCUGCCCUUCAGAGGGGGAUAGCGCUUGGAAACGAACGGUAAUACCGCAUAAUGUAUUUUGACCGCAUGAUCGAAAUACCAAAGAUUUAUCGCUGAAGGAUGGACUCGCGUCUGAUUAGGUAGUUGGUGGGGUAACGGCCUACCAAGCCGACGAUCAGUAGCCGGACUGAGAGGUUGAUCGGCCACAUUGGGACUGAGACACGGCCCAGACUCCUACGGGAGGCAGCAGUGGGGAAUAUUGCACAAUGGGCGCAAGCCUGAUGCAGCAACGCCGCGUGAAGGAAGACGGUUUUCGGAUUGUAAACUUCUGUUCUUAGUGAAGAAUAAUGACGGUAGCUAAGGAGCAAGCCACGGCUAACUACGUG